rnacentral:rRNA from 1 species
UACGUAGGGUGCGAGCGUUAAUCGGAAUUACUGGGCGUAAAGUGUGCGCAGGCGGCCGAGCAAGUCGAGUGUGAAAGCCCCGAGCUUAACUUGGGAAUUGCGCUCGAAACUACUUGGCUGGAGUGUGGCAGAGGAAGGUGGAAUUCCAGGUGUAGCGGUGAAAUGCGUAGAUAUCUGGAGGAACACCGGUGGCGAAGGCGGCAUCCUGGACCAACACUGACGCUGAGUGAGCGAAAGCCAGGGGAGCAAACGGG